AUUGAACGCUGGCGGCAGGCCUAAUACAUGCAAGUCGAGCGGUAGAGUGACUUCGGUUGCUUGAGAGCGGCGAACGGGUGAGUAACGCGUACACAAUCUACCUUUAAGAGGGGAAUAGCCCUGGGAAACUGGGAUUAAUGCCCCAUGGCAUCACGAAGUGGCAUCGCUUUGUGAUUAAAGCUGAGGUGCUUAGAGAUGAGUGUGCGUCUGAUUAGCUAGUUGGUGCGGUAACGGCGCACCAAGGCGACGAUCAGUAGGGGGCGUGAGAGCGUGGACCCCCACACGGGUACUGAGACACGGACCCGACUCCUACGGGAGGCAGCAGUAAGGAAUAUUGGUCAAUGGAGGAAACUCUGAACCAGCCAUCCCGCGUGCAGGAAGGAUGCCCUAUGGGUUGUAAACUGCUUUUAUCUGGGAAGAAAAGUCGGGAUUUAUCCUGAUCUGACGGUACCAGAGGAAUAAGCACCGGCUAACUCCGUGCCAGCAGCCG
rnacentral:rRNA from 1 species